rnacentral:rRNA from 1 species
CGGAGGGUGCAAGCGUUAUCCGGAUUUACUGGGUUUAAAGGGUGCGUAGGUGGGUAGGUAAGUCAGUGGUGAAAUCUUCGAGCUUAACUCGGAAACUGCCAUUGAUACUAUUUAUCUUGAAUACUCUGGAGGUAAGCGGAAUAUGUCAUGUAGCGGUGAAAUGCUUAGAUAUGACAUAGAACACCAAUUGCGAAGGCAGCUUACUACAUAGUUAUUGACACUGAGGCACGAAAGCGUGGGAUCAAACAGGAUU